rnacentral:rRNA from 1 species
CGAGCGGACAGAAGGGAGCUUGCUCCCGGAUGUUAGCGGCGGACGGGUGAGUAACACGUGGGUAACCUGCCUGUAAGACUGGGAUAACUCCGGGAAACCGGAGCUAAUACCGGAUAGUUCCUUGAACCGCAUGGUUCAAGGAUGAAAGACGGUUUCGGCUGUCACUUACAGAUGGACCCGCGGCGCAUUAGCUAGUUGGUGAGGUAACGGCUCACCAAGGCGACGAUGCGUAGCCGACCUGAGAGGGUGAUCGGCCACACUGGGACUGAGACACGGCCCAGACUCCUACGGGAGGCAGCAGUAGGGAAUCUUCCGCAAUGGACGAAAGUCUGACGGAGCAACGCCGCGUGAGUGAUGAAGGUUUUCGGAUCGUAAAGCUCUGUUGUUAGGGAAGAACAAGUGCAAGAGUAACUGCUUGCACCUUGACGGUACCUAACCAGAAAGCCACGGCUAACUACGUGCCAGCAGCCGCGGUAAUACGUAGGUGGCAAGCGUUGUCCGGAAUUAUUGGGCGUAAAGGGCUCGCAGGCGGUUUCUUAAGUCUGAUGUGAAAGCCCCCGGCUCAACCGGGGAGGGUCAUUGGAAACUGGGAAACUUGAGUGCAGAAGAGGAGAGUGGAAUUCCACGUGUAGCGGUGAAAUGCGUAGAGAUGUGGAGGAACACCAGUGGCGAAGGCGACUCUCUGGUCUGUAACUGACGCUGAGGAGCGAAAGCGUGGGGAGCGAACAGGAUUAGAUACCCUGGUAGUCCACGCCGUAAACGAUGAGUGCUAAGUGUUAGGGGGUUUCCGCCCCUUAGUGCUGCAGCUAACGCAUUAAGCACUCCGCCUGG